rnacentral:rRNA from 1 species
GACGAACGCUGGCGGCGUGCUUAACACAUGCAAGUCGAACGGAAAGGCCCUGCUUUUGUGGGGUGCUCGAGUGGCGAACGGGUGAGUAACACGUGAGUAACCUGCCCUUGACUUUGGGAUAACUUCAGGAAACUGGGGCUAAUACCGGAUAGGAGCUCCUGCUGCAUGGUGGGGGUUGGAAAGUUUCGGCGGUUGGGGAUGGACUCGCGGCUUAUCAGCUUGUUGGUGGGGUAGUGGCUUACCAAGGCUUUGACGGGUAGCCGGCCUGAGAGGGUGACCGGCCACAUUGGGACUGAGAUACGGCCCAGACUCCUACGGGAGGCAGCAGUGGGGAAUAUUGCACAAUGGGCGGAAGCCUGAUGCAGCAACGCCGCGUGCGGGAUGACGGCCUUCGGGUUGUAAACCGCUUUCGCCUGUGACGAAGCGUGAGUGACGGUAAUGGGUAAAGAAGCACCGGCUAACUACGUGCCAGCAGCCGCGGUGAUACGUAGGGUGCGAGCGUUGUCCGGAUUUAUUGGGCGUAAAGGGCUCGUAGGUGGUUGAUCGCGUCGGAAGUGUAAUCUUGGGGCUUAACCCUGAGCGUGCUUUCGAUACGGGUUGACUUGAGGAAGGUAGGGGAGAAUGGAAUUCCUGGUGGAGCGGUGGAAUGCGCAGAUAUCAGGAGGAACACCAGUGGCGAAGGCGGUUCUCUGGGCCUUUCCUGACGCUGAGGAGCGAAAGCGUGGGGAGCGAACAGGCUUAGAUACCCUGGUAGUCCACGCUGUAAACGGUGGGUACUAGGUGUGGGGUCCAUUCCACGGGUUCCGUGCCGUAGCUAACGCUUUAAGUACCCCGCCUGGGGAGUACGGCCGCAAGGCUAAAACUCAAAGGAAUUGACGGGGCCCCGCACAAGCGGCGGAGCAUGCGGAUUAAUUCGAUGCAACGCGUAGAACCUUACCUGGGUUUGACAUGGAUCGGGAGCGCUCAGAGAUGGGUGUGCCUCUUUUGGGGUCGGUUCACAGGUGGUGCAUGGCUGUCGUCAGCUCGUGUCGUGAGAUGUUGGGUUAAGUCCCGCAACGAGCGCAACCCUUGUUCACUGUUGCCAGCACGUUAUGGUGGGGACUCAGUGGAGACCGCCGGGGUCAACUCGGAGGAAGGUGGGGAUGACGUCAAGUCAUCAUGCCCCUUAUGUCCAGGGCUUCACGCAUGCUACAAUGGCUGGUACAGAGAGUGGCGAGCCUGUGAGGGUGAGCGAAUCUCGGAAAGCCGGUCUCAGUUCGGAUUGGGGUCUGCAACUCGACCUCAUGAAGUCGGAGUCGCUAGUAAUCGCAGAUCAGCAACGCUGCGGUGAAUACGUUCCCGGGGCA